rnacentral:rRNA from 1 species
CCCUUAGAUGCUCUGGGCCGCACGCGCGCUACACUGGUCGAUGCAACGAGUUUCUUUCCUUGGCCGACAGGCUCGGGCAAUCUUUGAACGCUGGUCGUGAUGGGGAUAGACUUUUGCAAUUUUUGGUCUUCAACGAGGAAUUCCUAGUAAACGCAAGUCAUCAACUUGCAUUGAUUACGUCCCUGCCCUUUGUACACACCGCCCGUCGCACCUACCGAUUGAAUGGUCCGGUGAAGCCUCCGGAUUGGCGCGCACCCCGGUGCCGCCGAGAAGUUGGCUAAACCUUACCAUUUAGAGGAAGGUGAAGUCGUAACA